CCGAUGUAGCUCAGCUGGCUAGAGCAGCUGAUUUGUAAUCAGCAGGUCGUGGGUUCGAGUCCCUCUAUCGG
rnacentral:tRNA from 4 species